UACGUAGGGUGCGAGCGUUGUCCGGAAUUAUUGGGCGUAAAGAGCUUGUAGGCGGUUUGUCGCGUCUGCUGUGAAAUUUCGGGGCUCAACCCCGAACUUGCAGUGGGUACGGGCAGACUAGAGUGUGGUAGGGGAGACUGGAAUUCCAGGUGUAGCGGUGAAAUGCGCAGAUAUCAGGAGGAACACCGAUGGCGAAGGCAGGUCUCUGGGCCACUACUGACGCUGAGAAGCGAAAGCAUGGGGAGCGAACAGG
rnacentral:rRNA from 1 species